rnacentral:RNase_P_RNA from 1 species
AUGGGCCGGCAGACGGUCGCGUCGCCGCACGCAGGUGCGGUGCCGAGGAACGUCCGGGCUCCACAGAGCAGGGCGGUGGGUAACACCCACCCGGGGCAACCCGCGAGACAGUGCCACAGAAAGUAGACCGCCCCGAGCUUCGGCUCGGGGUAAGGGUGAAACGGUGGUGUAAGAGACCACCAGAGGCUGCGGUGACGCAGUCGGCUCGGUAAACCUCGCCCGGAGCAAGGUCAGACAGGAAGCGCUAACGCUGCUCGCUCAGUUUCCGGGUAGACCGCUGGAGGGCUGCGGCAACGUAGUCCCGAGAUAGAUGGCCGUCAGGGAGUUCACUCCCCCACAGAACCCGGCGUAUCGCCGGCCCGUUCAC